rnacentral:lncRNA from 1 species
GUCUAUGGGGUCAGUCAAUGGGGUCAGUGGGGUGUACGGGGUCAAUCAAUGGGGUCAGUGGGAUCUGUGGGGUCAGUGGGGCGUAUGGGGUCAGUCAAUGGGGUCAGUGGGGUGUAUGGGGUCAGUCAUGGGGUCAGUGGGGUGUAUGGGGUCAGUCAAUGGGGUCAGUGGGGUGUAUGGGUGUGAUCUAUGGGGUCAGUGGGGUGUAUGGGGUCAAUCAAUGGGGUCAGUCAGUGGGGUCAGUGGGAUCUAUGGGGUCAGUGGGAUCUAUGGGGUCAGUCAAUGGGGUCAGUGGGGUGUAUGGGGUCAAUCAGUGGGGUCAGUGGGAUCUAUGGGGUCAGUGGGGCAAUCAGUGGGGUCAGUGGGGUGUAUGGGGUCAGUCAGUGGGGUCAGUGGGGCAAUCAGUGGGGUGUAUGGGGUCAGUGGGGUCUAUGGGGCCAAUCAAUGGGGUCAGUGGGUUUUAUGGGGUCAAUCAGUGGGGUCAGUGGGAUCUAUGGGGUCAGUCAGUGGGGUCAGUGGGAUCUAUGGGGUGAGUGGGUGGGGUCAGUGGGGUGUACGGGGUCAAUCAAUGGGGUCAGUCAUGGGGGUCAGUGGGAUCUAUGGGGUCAGUGGGAUCUAUGGGGUCAGUCAAUGGGUCAGUGGGGUGUAUGGGGUCAAUCAGUGGGGUCAGUGGGAUCUAUGGGGUCAGU